CUUCUUUUUUUUUUUUCCGCUGCGUUUCUAAAUUCCUUUACCUUCAGUUUUUACCACUGCAAUUCUCUAUCUGUCAUUGCCCGGAAAAAUCCUAGUAUUUUGAUCAAACAAUCGAUUAUAUUAGUAAACUCCAUUAUGGCAUGUUUCUAAUAAAAUUUAAUACUUUCAUUAUUUGUCAAAUUAGUUGAUAUUGGUAUCAUAUACCUGUUAAAUGCUAUGUUAUCUAGAUCUUUCUCAUGUACAUUUGUUGUGUCUUUUGCUUCACAAUUGCUGUAGAAAUGCCUUGUUGUUCUCGAUACGCGGGCAUCCUGUGGUUAAAAUGAUCAAGAAGAUUGAAGAUAGUGGAGUUGACACAAUGAAAACAAGCAUUUUUGAAGGGAUUGAGAGUAAUUAUUGACAACAACAUACUUGACUUGCGUAGAGUGGUUUCACAUCGAGAUCACUCAUAUAGUGCUUUGUUGCCGAACUUAUUCUAGAAGAAUUCGAAUUAGGAGUGAUCUCGAUGUAGUUAGAUGUUGAAACUAUUGUCGUUUAUGAUUUAGUUAGGUUUAAAUUUUACUUGGGAGAGAACAAAUCGUUUAAUUUGACAUUAUUUAAUUUGUUCACAAUACUUGUAUAUUAUUACUUUGUUCUUUGGUUACGGUAUUAAAAAGCGGU